rnacentral:rRNA from 1 species
GUACACUCCUGCGGGAGGCAGCAGUGGGGAAUAUUGCACAAUGGGCGCAAGCCUGAUGCAGCCAUGCCGCGUGUAUGAAGAAGGCCUUCGGGUUGUAAAGUACUUUCAGCGGGGAGGAAGGCAAUACGGUUAAUAACCGUGUUGAUUGACGUUACCCGCAGAAGAAGCACCGGCUAACUCCGUGCCAGCAGCCGCGGUAAUACGGAGGGUGCAAGCGUUAAUCGGAAUUACUGGGCGUAAAGCGCACGCAGGCGGUCUGUCAAGUCGGAUGUGAAAUCCCCGGGCUCAACCUGGGAACUGCAUUCGAAACUGGCAGGCUUGAGUCUUGUAGAGGGGGGUAGAAUUCCAGGUGUAGCGGUGAAAUGCGUAGAGAUCUGGAGGAAUACCGGUGGCGAAGGCGGCCCCCUGGACAAAGACUGACGCUCAGGUGCGAAAGCGUGGGGAGCAAACAGGAUUAGAAACCCGAGUAGUCCCAUGA